rnacentral:rRNA from 1 species
GACAGAGGCCUCAAGCGUUAGGCGGAAUCACUGGGCUUAAAGCGUGUGUAGGCGGAUCGUUAAGUGUCUUGUGAAAUCCCACGGCUCACCCGUGGAACUGCUGGGCAUACUGGCGAUCUUGGGCCAACUAGGGGCAACUGGAACAAGCGGUGGAGCGGUGAAAUGCGUAGAUAUCGGAAGGAACACCAGUGGCGAAAGCGGCCACCUGGGUCUGACCUGACGCUGAGGUGCGAAAGCGUGGGGAGCAAACCGG